rnacentral:rRNA from 1 species
GCUCAGGAUGAACGCUGGCGGCGUGCUUAACACAUGCAAGUCGAACGGUGAACACGGAGCUUGCUCUGUGGGAUCAGUGGCGAACGGGUGAGUAACACGUGAGCAACCUGCCCCUGACUCUGGGAUAAGCGCUGGAAACGGCGUCUAAUACUGGAUACGAGUAGCGACCGCAUGGUCAGUUACUGGAAAGAUUUAUUGGUUGGGGAUGGGCUCGCGGCCUAUCAGCUUGUUGGUGAGGUAAUGGCUCACCAAGGCGUCGACGGGUAGCCGGCCUGAGAGGGUGACCGGCCACACUGGGACUGAGACACGGCCCAGACUCCUACGGGAGGCAGCAGUGGGGAAUAUUGCACAAUGGGCGCAAGCCUGAUGCAGCAACGCCGCGUGAGGGAUGACGGCCUUCGGGUUGUAAACCUCUUUUAGCAGGGAAGAAGCGAAAGUGACGG